UACGUAGGCAGCGAGCGUUGUUCGGAGUUACUGGGCGUAAAGAGUGCGUAGGCGGUUUUCUAAGUUUGGUGUGAAAUCUCCCGGCUCAACUGGGAGGGUGCGCCGAAAACUGUAAGGCUGGAGUGGGGGAGAGGUAGGCGGAAUUCCUGGUGUAGCGGUGAAAUGCGUAGAUAUCAGGAGGAACACCUGUGGUGUAGACGGCUUACUGGACCAUGACUGACGCUGAGGCACGAAAGCGUGGGGAGCAAACAGG
rnacentral:rRNA from 1 species